rnacentral:lncRNA from 1 species
AACACAUGUUGAUGCUCCUAGACGGAUCUUCAUUAGAGGACCAUACCGGCGAGCUAGGUCUUGGAAAGACUUGGGUAAGACGGAGCCGAUGAGAUGGAGGUGGCCGAUGAGAGGUAGAGCUGGAGGGCUGGGCAGUGCGUAGAUUUGGUUAGGAGGUUUCAAGAAUGUCUUGAUGAGGUAGUGGACAACAAGGGCAGUGAAGAACCAUACGAGGAAGAGAGGGUAGUAGAACAUUGUCGGUAAGGGCAAACGUCCGACGAGGUUUCGUU